GGGGGACACACAGAGCAGUGUUAUGAAUCACCACUGCCAUUCCCCUGGCCUUGUCUCACCUCCCAUUGGGACCCCAAAGACCAGAAAAUGUCAUUCAUCCUCUUGCAGAACAUUGCUCCUGAGCAAAAUCCUGCUUCAGCUCUCUCUACACGCCAGUAUCCCUACCCCAUGGAUGUCGCAGGAACGUCAGGAAUUGGCCAAAGAGGUGGAACUACGGAGCAGCUCCAAGGAAGAAGACAACGUGGUGGUUGAUCACCCGGUGCCGUGUCCCCACUCAUUCCCAUACCAAAGGCUGGCGGCAGAGCUGCGGGAUGGGAGAGCUGAGAGGGACCUCGCAGAAGGAUUCCGAAAUUCAGAUCUGUCCCUGACAGCUGCUGGCCCACUUGCUGCAAUCUGAACGGUGUCUCUGACUUCUCUUUGGCUCAAGGAUUUAACAUUAAGGCAAAAAUAAGACACAGUGUAGAAGCUCCAUCAAAUCUUUGGCACAACAGCAACAACAACAACAACAAAAAAUGACUGUACACAUGAGCUGAGAGGGGAACAUUUCCCAGUUAAGCAAAGGGAAAAGUGCUAAAUAAAUUGCACGUACUAAAAGGUGGCUGGCUUAAAAACAAUAAGAAGCAUCCUUGUCCUUUUUUUUUUUUCUUUUCCUUUCUGUUCCAGAGACUGAGAAAGUUCCUUGGCCAAUCGUCAUCUUGAAAAGGGGCUUCUGCAAAAAAGCUGCUCGCAGUCUUCAUCUGGACUGUGCAAGCUUUGCCAAGAACAGAUGUAACUGGCUGGAAGCUCUUCUGAAUCCUCCCUUCCCUGUUAUUACUCCUGGAAAGAGAAAGACGCAGCAUCAGAACAGUGAACAUGUGUUGUUCUGGUGGCUCCUCACACAAAUGGCCCUUGUUGGGGUUUCCUUGUUGGGACCCAUCAACCCAUAGUGUGAGUGUUCCAGAGUUUGGCUUUGUAGGGCAUUGACAGGUAGGUGGGCAGAGUCCCUAGAGUGCUGGAAGAGAAAGAGGGAACAAGGAAAGUUUGGGAAGGAAAAGGAACAAAAUGAGACAUGCUGGCAAAUGCCUGCUUUGGAAAUGACCUCUGGGUCCAUUUUCAGAAUCAGAAGUCAAUCUCAGAAGUAGAAAAGGGAAGCAAAUGAGCUGAUGUGUCCCAGACCUGUGGGGCUUAUUUUGCUAUUGUGGUUAUCACAUUCAUUUCCGCACACACAGCUCCUCAGCCCACAGGAGAGGCAGAGGCAGGUGUAUAUAGGUAACUGGUACAGAGAGUUAUGGCCAGGUUUACUGCUGCCAUCGUAAAAUGCACAACUUCAAUGAGCAGCACUUUGAGACAGGAAAAACCUCAUCUAAACCCCCUCUGACAUUAAAAUAAGCCCUGUGAAUAUCUCACAAACAAUCGUUAGCAUACUUCAAAACACAGUAAAAUCCUCUGGGCUCGCUCUUCCAUGAGGUCACAUCGCAGUUGGCCAAACUGCCUUCAUCACGUGGGCUCCUAAAUCCUCCUUAAAGUAACUCAGGAAUUUAGAAACUUGGAAAUCGGAUCCCAUUUUCUGAGCCCAACCACUGUUUCUUGCUUUUUGCCAGUGGACUUCAGAGCUUUCCAGGGUGCAGUGCAGCCCCUGAUGGUCCUUUGGACACGGUCAUCAAUUCUCCAGACAGACCAGGCGUCUUGAUGACAGUCUAAAAAGGUCAUCAAACUCUUCAAAGAUUGGCCCAGAAAACAUUCUUUCUCAGACCCAUCUGUUGCUGUACUCUCUCUGCCCUUUUCCAUUAUUGGAUUUUGUAACAUUAAGGUACAAAGUGCGAGUAGGUCAGCCUGAUGGUUGGACUCGGUGAUGUUGAAGGUCUUUGCCAACCUAGAUGGUGAUACGGUUCUGUAAUUCUCUGAAAGUAUUAUGACACCGAUGUUCUACUUUAUUAUUACUAUAAUUAGGGCUGCUGCCUGUGAGAUGACCCAUCCCAGGUGAGCAUCUACUCUGGGCUAAGGGGAUGGGGAUACAAGACCCUUACUGCAAACCCCUCCUACACCAGGCUUGCCCUUCCAAUUGGCACACAGCAAAUAAAAAAAACGGAGCUCAUUAUGCAAUUAUUAUCAAUGAUUUGUUGUCUCUUCUGACUAACACUACCUAGCGUUGCUCUGGGCAGGAGGAACAACUGGCCUAAUGAGCUGGGACUCAGGAUUUUGAAUAACGGGGGUUGGGUGAGAGAAUGACAAACAGCCUCGGGUAUCACAAAUGUUUCUGAUAGGAAAUGCCUAAAACGAUUUUCCAACAAUAAAUUAUGAAUAUUAAUAACCUGUAAUAGAAA